UGUGGGGACUCCGGCAAAGCUGGAUAUACACAAGUGGCUCAGACACCAUUUAUUGUAUAUGAAAAAAGAUGAAAAAUAAAGAGGAAGGAUAAGCCACUUUGUACAGUGUUAGGAAUUUCUAGAACUUCUAGA